AUUGAACGCUGGCGGAAUGCUUUACACAUGCAAGUCGAGCGGCAGCGCGGGGCAACCUGGCGGCGAGCGGCGAACGGGUGAGUAAUGCAUCGGAACAUGUCCAAGUCGUGGGGGAUAGCCCGGCGAAAGCCGGAUUAAUACCGCAUAAGCCCGGGAGGGGAAAGCAGGGGACCGCAAGGCCUUGCGCGAUUGGGUUGGCCGAUGUCCGAUUAGCUAGUUGGUGAGGUAAAGGCUUACCAAGGCGAUGAUCGGUAGCUGGUCUGAGAGGAUGAUCAGCCACACGGGGACUGAGACACUGACGAGACUCCUACGGGAGGCAGCAGUGGGGAAUUUUGGACAAUGGGGGCAACCCUGAUCCAGCCAUUCCGCGUGAGUGAAGAAGGCCUUCGGGUUGUAAAGCGCUUUUGUCCGGAGCGAAACGGUACGGGUGAAUAUCCCGUGCUACUGACGGUACCGGAAGAAUAAGCACCGGCUAACUACGUGCCAGCCGCCGCAGUAACAC
rnacentral:rRNA from 1 species